rnacentral:SRP_RNA from 1 species
GUCGGGUGUGGUGGUGUGCACCUGUAGUCCCAGCUACUUGGGAGGCUGAGGUGGGAGGAUCUCUUGAGCCUGGGAGAUCAAGGCUGCAGUGAGCUGUGAUUGCACCACUGCACUCCAGCCUGGGUGACAGAGUGAGACCCUGCCUCAA